GACGAACGCUGGCGGCGUGCUUAACACAUGCAAGUCGAACGAUGAAGCCUAGCUUGCUAGGUGGAUUAGUGGCGAACGGGUGAGUAAUACGUGAGUAACCUACCUUGAACUCUGGGAUAAGCCUGGGAAACUGGGUCUAAUACCGGAUACGACCAAUCUCCGCAUGGGGUGUUGGUGGAAAGCGUUAUGUAGUGGUUAUAGAUGGGCUCGCGGCCUAUCAGCUUGUUGGUGAGGUAACGGCUCACCAAGGCGACGACGGGUAGCCGGCCUGAGAGGGUGACCGGCCACACUGGGACUGAGACACGGCCCAGACUCCUACGGGAGGCAGCAGUGGGGAAUAUUGCACAAUGGGCGCAAGCCUGAUGCAGCGACGCCGCGUGAGGGAUGACGGCCUUCGGGUUGUAAACCUCUGUUAGCAGGGAAGAAGAGAGAUUGACGGUACCUGCAGAGAAAGCGCCGGCUAACUACGUGCCAGCAGCCGCGGUAAUACGUAGGGCGCGAGCGUUGUCCGGAAUUAUUGGGCGUAAAGAGCUUGUAGGCGGUUUGUCGCGUCUGCUGUGAAGGCCGGAGCUUAACUCCGUGUAUUGCAGUGGGUACGGGCAGACUAGAGUGCAGUAGGGGAGACUGGAAUUCCUGGUGUAGCGGUGGAAUGCGCAGAUAUCAGGAGGAACACCGAUGGCGAAGGCAGGUCUCUGGGCUGUAACUGACGCUGAGAAGCGAAAGCAUGGGGAGCGAACAGGAUUAGAUACCCUGGUAGUCCAUGCCGUAAACGUUGGGCACUAGGUGUGGGGAACAUUCCACGUUUUCCGCGCCGUAGCUAACGCAUUAAGUGCCCCGCCUGGGGAGUACGGCCGCAAGGCUAAAACUCAAAGAAAUUGACGGGGGCCCGCACAAGCGGCGGAGCAUGCGGAUUAAUUCGAUGCAACGCGAAGAACCUUACCAAGGCUUGACAUAUACUGGACCGCAUCAGAGAUGGUGUUUCCCUUCGGGGCUGGUAUACAGGUGGUGCAUGGUUGUCGUCAGCUCGUGUCGUGAGAUGUUGGGUUAAGUCCCGCAACGAGCGCAACCCUCGUUCUAUGUUGCCAGCACGUAAUGGUGGGGACUCAUAGGAGACUGCCGGGGUCAACUCGGAGGAAGGUGGGGAUGACGUCAAAUCAUCAUGCCCCUUAUGUCUUGGGCUUCACGCAUGCUACAAUGGCCGGUACAGAGGGUUGCGAUACUGUGAGGUGGAGCUAAUCCCUAAAAGCCGGUCUCAGUUCGGAUUGGGGUCUGCAACUCGACCCCAUGAAGUCGGAGUCGCUAGUAAUCGCAGAUCAGCAACGCUGCGGUGAAUACGUUCCCGGGCCU
rnacentral:rRNA from 1 species